UACGUAGGGUGCAAGCGUUAAUCGGAAUUACUGGGCGUAAAGCGUGCGCAGGCGGCUUUGCAAGACAGAUGUGAAAUCCCCGGGCUCAACCUGGGAACUGCAUUUGUGACUGCAUCAGUGACGUUAGGACGGGUCAAGCAGGGGGGGAUUGGAAAUUGACCGGGGGGCAGUUGGGUAAAGCUUCCGGUCGGAAAUUGGUACGGCAAGGUAGUAAAAUUGGCCGGGAUGGAAACAGCCAGUAAUUGGGCCGGGAAAGGG
rnacentral:rRNA from 1 species